CUCUUACUGACGCACGUGAAAAUGUGCUUCAUCUUGCGUUGAAAACACGAGCGUGCGCAAGUCUCAGUCACGAAGAGCAAAGUCUUGCAUGGAUACGUUAGAAAACACAAGCAUACAAGUGUGUUGUAGGUGGUUGCCAACUUAUCCAAGUCAAAAGAGCCUGCUUUCAGGUGUAAAUGCUACUCUGGUCACUAGAUGUGGAUUGGUGUGCAAAUGAAGCCUCACAGGUGGGUUCAUCUUCAGCGAGUUCUCUGGAGUCAUCGUCACUCUCCUCCACCCCUACAUCUGGAAUGGAUUCUUCCACCUCCACUGAAUUGUACCCUCUGUCAUCGAAACUUUCUAUAAUAAUGGGGGAA